UACAGAGGUCUCGAGCGUUAGGCGGAAUCACUGGGCUUAAAGCGUGUGUAGGCGGCGGGCUAAGUACCUUGUGAAAUCCCACGGCUUAACUGUGGAACUGCUGGGUAUACUGGUUCGCUUGAGCGGUCUAGGGGCGAGCGGAACAAAUGGUGGAGCGGUGAAAUGCGUAGAUAUCAUUUGGAACGCCAACGGUGAAAACAGCUCGCUGGGGACCUGCUGACGCUGAGACAGAAGCCAGG
rnacentral:rRNA from 1 species